GAUGAAGAACGUAGCGAAAUGCGAUAAGUAAUGUGAAUUGCAGAAUUCAGUGAAUCAUCGAAUCUUUGAACGCACAUUGCGCCCCUUGGUAUUCCGAGGGGCAUGCCUGUUCGAGCGUCAUUAUAACCCCUCAAGCUCAGCUUGGUGUUGGGGCCUGCUGCACUGGCAGCCCUUAAAAUCAGUGGCGGCGCCAUCAGGCUCUAAGCGUAGUAAUUCUUCUCGCUAUGGAGUCCUGGUGGAUGCUUGCCAUCAACCCCCAAUUUUUCUAUGGUUGACCUCGGAUCAGGUAGGGAUACCCGCUGAACUUAAGCAUAUCAAUAAGCGGAGGA
rnacentral:misc_RNA from 1 species